rnacentral:rRNA from 1 species
AGCAGUCGCCGCGGUAAUACGAAGGGUGCAAGCGUUACUCGGAAUUACUGGGCGUAAAGCGUGCGUAGGUGGUGGUUUAAGUCCGUUGUGAAAGCCCUGUGCUCAACCUGGGAAUUGCAGUGGAUACUGGGUCACUAGAGUGUGGUAGAGGAUAGUGGAAUUUCCGGUGUAGCAGUGAAAUGCGUAGAGAUCGGAAGGAACAUCUGUGGCGAAGGCGACUAUCUGGGCCAACACUGACACUGAGGCACGAAAGCGUGGGGAGCAAACAGGAUUAGAUACCCCCGUAGUCCCUGUCUCUUAUAC